rnacentral:tRNA from 1 species
UGUAAAAUGCCAGAGAAUUUUAUGGGGUUGAUUUAGGGUCAAUUUACAGCCGUUUGGCUUUUUAUUU